rnacentral:tRNA from 1 species
UCAGAAGUAGCUCAGUGGAAGAGCAUCGGAGCCUCAUAAGCCGACGACCUAGGUUCAAAUCCUAGCUUCUGAC